CGCCUGUCCAACCUUGUGGGUUUUCUCCAGGUUUUCCGGUUUCCCAAAGACCCCUACGCGCAAGCAAAUUAUUGAAAUAAAUUUGAACCAUAUGUUAGUCCCGAAAUGACCUAGUGUGUGUCGAGUGGACAUUAAACCCCAUUUCUCUCUCAUAAAAAUACUGUUUUGCUCCGACUGGGAUGAAGAUGGGCAUACAUCAUGCAGUUUGCUAUGACUAUGAGGGAAAUCUUGUCCGGACAGCAGCGAUGCAGCCUGCUCUUAUUUUGAAAUCCGACUGUUAGAGACCUUAUGAUCUAAAGUGCACUCGAUAAACCAAUCCGCCAUUCAAUCCCCUCUAAAGCCAAGUUUCAUGGUCUAAAGUGCACUCGUUAAACCAAUCCGCCAUUCAACCCCCUCUAAAGCCAAGUUUCAUGUUCUAAAGUGCACUCGUUAAACCAAUCCGCCAUUCAACCCCCUUUAAAGCCAAGUAGGAAAUUAAUGGUGUUCUGUGGCCAUAGUGUUAGUAAAUAUGUUAUGGUAAUAUGUCAUUCAAGUAAUAAUAUAUUCCUUCAUUGACCGUAAUGGUCAGGUUCAUAUUAGGAUUAAUUAAGAUCAUAUUAUGAGCAAUAAUACAUUGUACCGUAUACUUUAUAUAUAGAAGUGCCUCGGGUACUUGUGCCUGUAAUUGGAAGGCAGGAAUAUCGUGAUGGCUAUUAUAAUAGUUGUUAUGGCAGCUAAUAUGGCAGAUUUAUCAAAAUCAAAAUCAAUACCAGCACAAGCCUUAGGGUAUUUAGAAUAUACACUAGAGGGCACACCAUGACACAGGUCCAAGUGUUUUUCAGUCAUAGCACAAUGAUAGAUUUCUGGUUCCAGCCAUGACAAUCUGAUUCAACUACAGAUCCUAUUUCGUUUCGGUUUUUGUUAUAGUUCAAAAUUUCGUUUGAUUUGUCUGUACUACAUUACUAGGAUCUGGAAGAGUUGUUAUAUAAGCCGCGGUCUGGAUGAUGUGACGGAUUAGCCAAUGAAAUGGCCUGUUUCAGCGAGCUUUUGGUUUGAGGUGCACGGAACUGUGGGUUACCCACUAGAAGCAUCAACGCUGAUUGGUUAAUCGAAUGUCUGACAUCAAGCCGCUCGUAUAACCCCUGAUGUGACACCAGUACAACUGGUCAGAUCUUCAUGUAGUUUAGGCCAUCAAAAGUAUAAAAAAAAAACAAUACGAAAUAUACAUCUGUAUUUUAAUCAGAUUGAACCGAAAAAAAAAAAAGAAAACAAAUUGUCUUAGGAUUUGAAGUGGUAAAUUUCGGUGAAUUUUCGGAACCUGCUUCCAAGUUGCGGGUCCUGGGCAUUUGUACAAUUUGCCGAGACUGAAUGGUAACAAUCAUUUGUCUGUAUACCUAGUAUUACGUGCGAUUUUGCUCAGAAAUAAAUUGUUGUUGUUUUAUUUUAUUUUUAUUGGUAAUGAAAUUAUACCAAAUAAAAACAGAUUUUUGUUUUCUGUUUCAAGACUCAACCUAAGAAAAUAAAUUACUUUGAAUUAAAUUUUUAAAACAUA